AUUGAACGCUGGCGGCAGGCCUAACACAUGCAAGUCGAACGAGAGGCGGACGGGUGAGUAAUGUCUGGGAAACUGCCUGACGGAGGGGGAUAACUACUGGAACCCGUCGCUAAUACCGCAUAACAUCAUAUGUGCCCAGAUGGGACUGGCGCGUGGGUGGGGUAACGGCUCAACAAGGCGACGAUCCCUAGCGGGUCUGAGAGGAUGACCAGGCACACUGGAACUGAGACACGGGCAAGACUCCUACGGGAGGCAGCAGUUGGGAAUAUUGCACAAUGGGCGCAAGCCUGAUGCAGCCAUGCCGCGUGUAUGAAGAAGGCCUUCGGGUUGUAAAGUACUUUCAGCGGGGAGGCGUUACCCGCAGAAGAAGCACCGGCUAACUCCGUGCCAGCAGCCGCGGUAAUAC
rnacentral:rRNA from 1 species